UACGGAGGGAGCUAGCGUUGUUCGGAAUUACUGGGCGUAAAGCGCACGUAGGCGGCUUUGUAAGUCAGAGGUGAAAGCCUGGAGCUCAACUCCAGAACUGCCUUUGAGACUGCAUCGCUUGAAUCCAGGAGAGGUGAGUGGAAUUCCGAGUGUAGAGGUGAAAUUCGUAGAUAUUCGGAAGAACACCAGUGGCGAAGGCGGCUCACUGGACUGGUAUUGACGCUGAGGUGCGAAAGCGUGGGGAGUAAACAGG
rnacentral:rRNA from 1 species